UACGAAGGGGGCUAGCGUUGCUCGGAAUCACUGGGCGUAAAGGGUGCGUAGGCGGGUCUUUAAGUCAGGGGUGAAAUCCUGGAGCUCAACUCCAGAACUGCCUUUGAUACUGAGGAUCUUGAGUCCGGGAGAGGUGAGUGGAACUCCGAGUGUAGAGGUGAAAUUCGUAGAUAUUCGGAAGGACACCAGUGGCGAAGGCGGCUCACUGGCCCGGUACUGACGCUGAGGUGCGAAAGCGUGGGGAGCAAACAGG
rnacentral:rRNA from 1 species